rnacentral:misc_RNA from 1 species
UACGGAGGGUGCAAGCGUUGUCCGGAAUCAUUGGGUGUAAAGGGUGCGUAGGCGGGAGCCUAAGUCGGAGGUGAAAUCUUGCCGCUUAACGGUAAAAUUGCCUUCGAUACUGGGAUUCUUGAGUGCAGAAGAGGUCGGUGGGAUUCGUAGUGUAGCGGUGAAAUGCAUAGAUAUUACGAAGAGCAUCAGUGGCGAAGGCGGCCGACUGGACUGCAACUGACGCUGAGGCACGAAAGCGUGGGGAUCGAACAGG